AAGCUGCGAUACGUAAUGUGAAUUGCAGAAAUCAGUGAAUCAUCGAAUCUUUGAACGCAACUUGCGCUCUUGGGUAUUCCCAGGAGCAUGUCUGCUUGAGUGUCAUUACAACUCUCCUUUUCUUCUUCUUCUCCUUCUUCUCUCUUCACAGAGAGUGAAAGAAAGAAAAAAAAAGGGCUUUGAGCUAAGACAGAUCUUGGCAUCUGUGUAGCUUUAAGGUUGUUGGUGAGGGAGCAAAGGCGACUUUUGUUUUCUUCCUAUUACCACCUGAUGUGGCAAAAAAAAGAAAGAGUGAGGAAAAACUUUUUUUUCUUCUUUUCUUUCCUUUUAAGCAUCUGGUGAGGGAAGGUGAAACUUAAAAGGCAGUUCUUUUUUUGUUCCAUUCCAAACUCACUUUGUAAUGAACCGUGUGUGAGUGUGAGUGUGCCAAAAACACACACACAUAACAAACACACACACCUCUCAACAUGUGACCUUAAGUCAGGCAAGACUACCCGCUGAACUUAAGC
rnacentral:misc_RNA from 1 species